UGCAAUAGCAACUAUGGGACAAUCUCUUAAUUUUAAUGUGAAAGAAUUGAACGAACAAGGCUGCAAACUACAACAUCAAGGAAUAAAUCUUAUACUUCAACUAAUUACAUGGUUUAACAUAUUCUCAUUGUUUCAGUAAUCUUGAAAUCCNNNNNNNNGUGCUAUCUGAGGAUGUUAAAGGAACUGUUGAGAACUCAGAAUCAGAAGGUUCAAAUGCCCGUAAAUUUCCUUGAAUUGGGCGAGGACUAUAGUUCUGGUGCGGAGAAAAUUUGGGUCUCGAGACACCAGAUACAGUAGCUGCUGUUGGUGGUGGUAAAUCAACUCCUGGCAUAGGACUGACUCCUUGUGAAUCUUCGUUAGGUCUAGAUGUAUCCUCAGCAGAUUCCCUCUUCUCCCUGUCUUCACUUUCCUUGAGAAGAAAAUCAACCCACGAAUCUGCAAAAGACUGGUUUUCAGAUGCUGCAUUAGCACGUGCAUCAGCUGAACUUCCUCCCAAGAUUCCACCAACUAGGCGGCCAGGUAGUCCCAAAACUCCCCGAACAACACCUCUGCCACCUUGUUGAGCAACACCUAUUCGCUGCUUAUCUUCAUCAGAGAAUCCCAGCAUUCGAACCAUGAGAUCCA
rnacentral:misc_RNA from 1 species